GACGAACGCUGGCGGCGUGCUUAACACAUGCAAGUCGAACGGAAAGGCCCUGCUUUUUUGGGGUGCUCGAGUGGCGAACGGGUGAGUAACACGUGAGUAACCUGCCCUUGACUUUGGUAUAACUUCAGGAAACUGGGGCUAAUCCCGUAUAGGAGCUCCUGCUGCAUGGUGGGGGUUGGAACGUUUCGGCGGUUGGGGAUGGACUGGCGGCUUAUCAGCUUGUUGGUGGGGUAGUGGCUUACCAAGGCUUUGACGGGUAGCCGGCCUGAGAGGGUGACCGGCCACAUUGGGACUGAGAGACGGCGCAGACGCGUACGGGAGGCAGAAGGGGGGAAUAUUGUACAAUGGGCGGAAGCCUGAGGAAGCAACGCCGCGGGCGGGAUGACGGCCUGCGGGGUGUAAACAGCUUUCGCCUGUGACGAAGCGGGAGUGACGGUAAUGGGUAAAGAAGCACCGGCUAACUACGUG
rnacentral:rRNA from 1 species